GAUUUAAUAGUUUAAAUAAAACACUGGUCUUGUAAAUCAGGGAUGUCGUCUACGACUUUAAUCU
rnacentral:tRNA from 1 species